rnacentral:rRNA from 1 species
GAUCAUGGCUCAGGAUGAACGCUAGCUACAGGCUUAACACAUGCAAGUCGAGGGGCAGCAUGUUGGUUGCUUGCACCAAUGAUGGCGACCGGCGCACGGGUGAGUAGCGCGUAUCCAACCUACCCUUGUCCAUCGGAUAACCCGUCGAAAGGCGGCCUAACACGAUAUGCGGUUCACAGCAGGCAUCUAACGUUGAACGAAAUGUGAAGGAGAAGGAUGGGGAUGCG